AGAACCCCGGCAGUGGGUAGGCCUGUCUCACGGAACAUGUCGGAACUACUGAUUUGGCACACUGUUCUCGGAGAUUCUUGGACAAAUUCUCUUGUACAGGGUCUGAAAUUCAGCCCAUUCCCACCCAGAAAGCAAGGUAGGAGAUAUAAUCAAAGAAUUCAGAACCUGAUCAAACUCCUACCCCACUUUGAAGACAUCAUCCAGUUAUCCUAGUUAUCCAACCACCAGAAGAAAAGAAUAGUGAAAAGACUAGAGCUUCACAGACUUGUAUGGAAAAAAUAUUAACAGCAGAGGGGUGAAAUCUGUAUGGUUAACAUCCAAGUGGGUACAGAAUAAAGUGUCAAGGGCUGGUCUCCUGGUGCAUGGUGACUCCUGCUUUGAGUAAGGCCCCGAACUAUUCCCUAAGCUUUCACUGCUAAUGAAGUCA
rnacentral:lncRNA from 1 species